GAUGUAGGGCGCGAGCGUUGUCCGGAUUUAUUGGGCGUAAAGAGCUCGUAGGCGGCUUGUUGCGUCAGCUGUGAAAACCCGCAGCUCAACUGUGGGCUUGCAGCUGAUACGGGCAGGCUUGAGUUCGGUAGGGGAGACUGGAAUUCCUGGUGUAGCGGUGAAAUGCGUAGAUAUCGGAAGGAACACCAGUGGCGAAGGCGGUUACCUGGAGCUUUGCUGACGCUGAUGCGCGAAAGCGUGGGGAGCGAUCCGG
rnacentral:rRNA from 1 species